UGGGGAAUAUUGGACAAUGGGCGCAAGCCUGAUCCAGCCAUGCCGCGUGAGUGAUGAAGGCCUUAGGGUUGUAAAGCUCUUUCGUCAGGGAAGAUAAUGACGGUACCUGAAGAAGAAGCCCCGGCUAACUUCGUGCCAGCAGCCGCGGUAAUACGAAGGGGGCUAGCGUUGCUCGGAAUCACUGGGCGUAAAGCGCACGUAGGCGGCUUUCUAAGUCAGGGGUGAAAUCCUGGAGCUCAACUCCAGAACU
rnacentral:rRNA from 1 species